UGAAAAUAUAACCAAUACACUCAUCGUUGGUGAGACUCAGAGGCGAGGCCCUAUACACAGAUUAUCAAUACAUGUAUAAAGUUGAGCCCCUACCGAAUGCUUUCACACCAAGACUGUUAGCCCAAUGGAAGUUGGCUGUGUGGAUACUCUUGAGGACCACAAGAGGUCUUGUUUCUUUAAAAAACAAAACCAAACAAAACAAACCAUUAAGGAUCACCCGCGAGGCAUCAUUGGGGAGAGAAAAUGAAAACAUCUGAAAGAAUGGAAAGAUCAGUUGAAGACAAGUUUUGACGAUAUCACGGACUGUAUCUCCCAGCAGAUGACACCAGUAAGCCAUGGUUUACUUGAAACAAUUACUGUGAAUGUACAUUGGUUGUACAUUUGUGUAUCUACCUGAGAAUAUAUAAUUUAUGGUCUGGCACGUGUAUGUGAUGAGGCAGGAAC
rnacentral:lncRNA from 1 species